rnacentral:lncRNA from 1 species
AGCUAUUGUUGUUACAGAGUGGGAGGCUUCUGGGCCACUUGAAUUCAUGUCACGCCUACGAUCAAUCACCAUACAGCACCAUCCACCAUUACCACACUGUACUCCGCCACACGAACUGCAAGUCCAAGGCGGUUGAUCUUGCCUUCUAGGAUCCCUCCUCAUCCAGUCACCCGAACAUUCGCUGAGACAGAGGGUUCAGCAAUCGCCACCAAUCCAGCGUGCGAAUCUCGGUCCAUCAACUGUGACCUCAACUCACAUCUCAGCAGCUAGCCAUAUCUCACGCUCCCGACAGUGUCGGGGGUCUCCCCAGGAAUCGAAUCAAGGAAUCUGGUCAGCUAUGAUAAGCCGAACGGGUAUGAGGCCGGGGGUGGCCGGGGAGGGAAGGAACGGGGAAGGAAUAGGGAUAAGCGGCACCGGAACAAGCUGAUUCGCUUCCCGUCGUCGCCUGCCCCUACCUCUACUCAGACGCAGAGCCUUACUCUUCUCUAGGCAUGCGCGCAUAGCGGUAACACUCCGAUGGUAUUGCGUCCAGUCCUGGGGCCUUACAGUUAGGCAGCCGGUCUACAGCACGUGCGACUUCCUCCAGUGUGAAGUGUGGGUCUAGGAUUUCUGCUGCCUGCGCAGUCCUGCCCAAAACCGAGUGGGAUGUCCGCCUUCCUGUCCCUCUAGGUGUUGUUAAUGAAGUCCAAAAGCCGUUCCGCGCCAUCAGCCCCCCUCUCCCCCACACCUGCAUUUAACAUCAAAGCAAAGUUAUCCCUGAAAACCUCAAUAUCACUUAUCGCACAUCGUCCUCUCACUUCCCUCCCAAAGCCCGCCACAAAGCUCGUUGAUCAUGCCCACACUUGGCUACGAAAUGUCUCAUCCUGCCCUCCCGUGUGCUGCCUUCGCGUGCCUUUUUGUACAUCUGGUUACGUUCCGUUGGGCUCUAGCUGCUGCCCGGUACUUGAGGGGCUCACUGAUUGGCGGGAACUAGCUCAUGCAUGGAUCAGCCGGCAGGCCCUACCGGCGGAGCCCGCUAGCAGCAUGCAUGAGCGCAUUACUGAUGGAGUGCGUGCACCCUACCAGGUCAUUGGGCCUUUCAACAGUGCCAAACAGGCUGCUAAGGCCUGUUUGGCACUGAUAUAGGCUGCUGCUGUUAUGAUUGGUUUGGCCCCGUUGAACUCCCCAAUGACUUGGUAGGGGCUGCUGUCGCCAAUGAUGUAAUAAUGGAGUAGCAAUGCUACGAGGUUCAUGGCAGAGGUCAAUUAUUCAUCAUGCAAUUGGAGCACUAACCCGUACUACUACUGCGGAUGGGGAUGGGCGCUUCAAAAUUUCGCCGCUAUGAUAUCGCCGUUUGGUGACUUUCUGCUUUCUGUUCGUUCUGCAGAGGUGCCGUGGCCUCUGCGCGCCGCGCCGGUGCUGUAUGUACGUGUGUAUGUAAUGCUGAGGUCCGUCGCGGCACCGGUGUCGUCUGCUUUCUGCUGGUUCAUCAGAUCCCGCCGCGUUGUCGUAAACUGUCGUGGGAAGUCCCCAGUCGCCCCAGUCGCUGUCCCGGUUGGCUGUGCCUAGCAGUAAGGUACUUGUGAUUUGUAACUUGCGACGGAAAAGAUGUGUCUGUGGAUUAUGAUUUGCUGGGGCGCGCGACGAUCCUAUGGUUAUGAGUUAGGCAGCACCCCAAGGGAGUAGCCUGUUUCUACCGUGUACGAAGCGUGCGGCGUCCAUGAGCCAGGCGCUGAAGAGGACCAUUUAGAUCGGGUCCAGCACCCACGUCACUGAUCUAAUGAGGCUUGCAAGUCCAUGUCCCGCGGCUUUAUGAGAAGAUUCCCGCACUUGUGCGCGGAACCGGUAACCCGCAACUGACAGGGGCCGCGAGAAUUGCCAGAUUACCCGACAUCUAUGCUUCAAGUGC